rnacentral:rRNA from 1 species
CAGUCGCCACGGUAAUACGAAGGGUGCAAGCGUUACUCGGAAUUACUGGGCGUAAAGCGUGCGUAGGUGGUGGUUUAAGUCCGUUGUGAAAGCCCUGGGCUCAACCUGGGAAUUGCAGUGGAUACUGGGUCACUAGAGUGUGGUAGAGGAUAGUGGAAUUUCCGGUGUAGCAGUGAAAUGCGUAGAGAUCGGAAGGAACAUCUGUGGCGAAGGCGACUAUCUGGGCCAACACUGACACUGAGGCACGAAAGCGUGGGGAGCAAACAGGAUUAGAUACCCGUGUAGUCCCUGUCUCUUAUAC